UGUUGUAGUAUAUAUGACUCAUGAUGAAGUAUGAGUCAUAGUAUAAAUGUCUAUAUCAUGUAUAAGAUAGGUAUUUGAGUGUAAAGAUAGGUGCUUGAGUGUAUAAUGUAGGUAUAGUGACUUGUGUGACAAGCUUUAUGCCAAAGGGGAACAAGUAUGGCAAUCAUCAUCAUCAAAGCCACAAUCUACAAAUGAAGAUGCCAUCAAGUUGUAUUAUUAUUUAAGCACUCACACUUCAAAUGUAUUCCUAUAAAUACCUCUAUUGUAUGAGAUG
rnacentral:lncRNA from 1 species